rnacentral:tRNA from 1 species
GGCCUCGUAGCUCAACUGGUAGAGCGUCUGCGUACAAAGCGUAGGCGGCGUCCAUGCGUGGGUCCGAAUCCCACUGAGUCUA